rnacentral:rRNA from 1 species
CCUACGGGAGGCAGCAGUAGGGAAUUUUCGGCAAUGGGCGAAACCCUGACCGAGCAAAGCCGCGUGAAGGAAGAAGGAAUUCGUUCUUUAAACUUCUGUUAUAAAGGAAGCAAGACGGAUGGAGGAAAUGACAUCCGAGUGACGCUACUUUAUGACAACGCCACGGCUAACUCCGUGCCAGCAGCCGCGGUAAUACGUAGGUGGCAAGCGUUAUCCGGAAUUAUUGGGCGUAAAGAGGGAGCAGGCGGCAGCAAAGGUCUGUGGUGAAAGAGUGAAGCUUAACCUCAGUAAGCCAUAGAAAGUGGGCAGCUAGAGUGCAGGAGAGGAUCGUGGAAUUCGAUGUGUAGCGGUGAAAUGCGUAGAUAUAUGGAGGAACACCAGUGGCGAAGGCGACGAUCUGGCCUGCAACUGACGCUCAGGCCCGAAAGCGUGGGGAGCAAAUAGGAUUAGAUACCCGUGUAGUC